GCGGCAGCGGCACAUUGAGCUCACGCUCGACCACGCUGUGAACGAAAGGGAAUGUGUUGAAUGACUCGAUUGCGAUAUAAUCACGGAUUAGGCGUUGGUGUUUCAAAUUUCAAAUUUCAACUUGAUUUUUUAUUUUUAUUACUAAAAAUUGUUUAUAUUUUGUUUGUAUUUCUUUUUUUGUUGGUACUUACGCCCAGGCAUAUUUCGAGGCGUUUCUUUUGCCCGUGAAGAGUGCCAAGAGAAAAUGACUUGGCGCAACCAAAGCCGGAUCUAAAGCCGCUUCGCUGCACAACAGGAGACGAAAGUGAAGGCGAAGGAGAAGCAGCAGGCGAAGGCGACAGCGCAGGCUGGGCCGCCUGCAUUCUAGCUGAGCCCACGGCCCGUUUACUUUCUAAACUUAAAUUGGGUUAUUUAAACUCGGCAAAUACCAAAAUUACUCACAUUUUAAUCAAGAAAUAAAAAUAAUUAAAAUCAAAUUUUAA